AGAGCAAUUUAGCUCAGAGUAUGUUCCUGGCUGGUGGCAGAGGUGGUUACGCGGGUGCGGCCUUGCAGGGACCACUCGCGUACUUGGAGAAGACUGCGACCAAUAUAGACAUGGUGGGGCUGGGUGAUGGGCGAAGGUGACGCGGUCGCGGGAGGGGAAGGGGGCGUGGACGUGGCAGAGGCAGAGGUCGCGGUGCAUCCCCUGAAUACGGUGGUAGCUUGACGCCUCCGUAGCCCUCCCUCCCCGCGGGGACCUCCCCCGCCCCUCACUCAUUCGCUGAUCUACUAGAUUCACUCAUGUCUUAACUAUGCUAGUGUAGAUACUCUACAUACUUUGUGGGGUGGAUUUCAGUACAUAGAUGGAGACGGAUAUUUUAUUAUAAUAUAUGUCAAAGACGUUAUAGUUACACCAUAUAUAAUUCAAGAACGGCCGGACAAAUUUUCAUGAUAUAGUGUUUUUGAAUAUAAAUAUAAUAUUCAUAUUCAAAGUUCAUUUGUUAUAAAUGGUAUAAACGCACUGACAGCUCCUGUAAUCUAUGGUUAGUUUUAAAAAUGACGUAUAUUGAAAUUGAACUGACCAGUUGUUUGUUAAACUAAAUAAUUUUAAAAUCUUGACAUUGACAUUACGAGCUUUGCCGAAACUUGUCUGCCUCCAUUAGUAAAUCAGUGAGUGACAUAGAGUGAGUUUAUUUAGAGAAUGCAGUGAUAUGUAAGACUCUCAGAGUAAUUACUCUAUUAUACCAACAGAUAACGAAACCUCCGAGUAUCGGUAUGUCUGUAAGGUUAGAAAAUUUUAUAGUGAUGAGCCAUGUUUGUAGUAGGUUAGCCACUAAAGAUUUUGAUUUAGGCCGCUAACUCACCGGGACGCCACGGUGACGUCACCGGCUACGUAGGCAUAACUACCCUUUGCUAGCCAACUGGACUCGCCAGCAGCUGUCUAUCUGACAGUUCUCUCAGGUUUCGUAUUGAG